rnacentral:rRNA from 1 species
UAAUACGUAGGGGGCGAGCGUUGUCCGGAAUUAUUGGGCGUAAAGGGUUCGUAGGCGGUAAUGCAUGUCAGCUGUGAAAUCUUGUGGCUUAACCACAUCAAGCAUCUGAAACUGCAUAACUUGAGUGAAGGAGAGGUAAGUGGAAUUCCUAGUGUAGCGGUGAAAUGCGUAGAUAUUAGGAAGAAUACCAGUAGCGAAGGCGACUUACUGGCCUUUAACUGACGCUGAUGAACGAAAGCGUGGGUAGCAAACAGG